rnacentral:rRNA from 1 species
UACGGAGGGUGCAAGCGUUAUCCGGAUUCACUGGGUUUAAAGGGUGCGUAGGUGGGUUGGUAAGUCCGUGGUGAAAUCUCCGAGCUUAACUCGGAAACUGCCGUGGAUACUAUCAAUCUUGAAUACCGUGGAGGUAAGCGGAAUAUGUCAUGUAGCGGUGAAAUGCUUAGAUAUGACAUAGAACACCGAUAGCGAAGGCAGCUUGCUACACAGUCAUUGACACUGAGGCACGAAAGCGUGGGGAGCAAACAGG